GGGGCUGUAGCUCAGUUGGGAGAGCGUUUGUAUGGCAUACAAAAGGUCGCAGGUUCGAUCCCUGUCAGCUCCA
rnacentral:tRNA from 1 species